AGAGUUUCAGUGAAACAAAAGGCCAUUCUAUUCCUAUUACCCUGGCUGGGAAAAAGAUAGUGAGAGAAGAGCUAACAGAGUUCAGAGCUACCUCUAGAGACUGAAGGGAACUCAUCUGCAAAGAACCAAUUCCCUCUCAUAUAAACCCUAAGAGUGCUUUGCAAACCCAACCGUGCCAUUCAAUUUCAAUCGAUCCUCCCCAAUCAGGUAUGCC
rnacentral:lncRNA from 1 species